rnacentral:rRNA from 1 species
UCUUAAUUAGAGGCUGGAAUGAAUGGUUGGACGAGAAAUCAGCUUUCUUUAAUAUAUUCUUAAAACUUAAUUUUUAAGUCAAAAAGCUUAAAUUUUAUUAAGGGACGAGAAGACCCUAUAGAACUUUAUUAAUUUAUUGGACCACAUAAUUUUUUUAUUUACUUUUGUGGUCCAUAUCUUUUAAUUGUGUUGGGGUGACAUAGAAAUUUAAUUAACUUUCUUUUUUUAUAUUCAUUGAUUAGUGUACUUUUAGAUCCAGGUUUAUCUUGAUUAUAAGUUUAAGUUACCUUAGGGAUAACAGCGUAAUUCUUUUGGAGAGUUCUAAUCGAUGAAAGAGUUUGCGACCUCGAUGUUGGAUUAAAAUUAGUAUUGGGAGUAGAAGAUCAAUUGCUAGGUCUGUUCGACCUUUAAAUUUUUACA